rnacentral:lncRNA from 1 species
UCAAAAAUGGAUUUGAAAUGUAUCCUUUAAUGCUACAUUUAUAUUUGGUCAAAUAAAAGAUUUUAUGAAUGUGUUGGAAAUCUCCUGAGUUUAAUGCCAUCUUAGAGACAUGCCAAACAUGAUUUCAUUUUUGUUUUGUGAUGAUUUUAAAGAGAGAAAAUCUCACUUUUGUGCCUCAUAAUUUCUGUAACCUUUUUCUCUUCUUUUUAGAGAAUUUGACUUGAACCUGAGUGCUGAAGUCAAAAGAGUUUAUUUUAAUAUUAUAGCUUAUAGUCUCUGCAUUUUUUCCCCUUGUGGUUCAAGUCAUACAUGGAAGGGAAACAUGAAGGACUUGCUUCACAUUGUUUUGGUCAAUAGUGGUAAUGAUGUUAAUAAUAUUAAUCUUGCAUGUUUAUGGCAUUUUAUAGUUUUCAAAGUAUUCUUAUAUAUAUAAGAAUAUAUAUUCUUAUAUAUUAUUGCCACACCCAGC